UACGGGGGGGGCAAGCGUUGUUCGGAAUUACUGGGCGUAAAGGGCGCGUAGGCGGCCAUCUAAGUCAGACGUGAAAUCCCUCGGCUCAACCGAGGAACUGCGUCUGAUACUGGAUGGCUUGAAUCCGGGAGAGGGAUGCGGAAUUCCAGGUGUAGCGGUGAAAUGCGUAGAUAUCUGGAGGAACACCGGUGGCGAAGGCGGCAUCCUGGACCGGCAUUGACGCUGAGGAGCGAAAGCCAGGGGAGCAAACGGG
rnacentral:rRNA from 1 species